UCAAAGGCUCCGGAAGGAAGACUCGUAAACGGGUGGUAUCAGCUGAAGAAAGAAUGCAGAGAUGCUGGUUGCCGAGACAUAAACGCCAUCACUUCAACAAAUAUGCGCAAAUAUCUAGCCACGAUCGCCCAGAUCAUGAACCUAUCAGAAAAUGAAAUGGAUCAGAUUGCCUCACACCUCGGACACGAUAUAACCGUUCACAGAAAAUACUAUCGCCUACCGGACAGCACAGUAGAACUCGCGAAAAUAGCGAAACUUCUACUGUCUACCGAAGAAACGCUUGGAGCCAAUCUCGACGAUGAUGCUGAAGGAGCGUCAAAUGCAGUCGGCGCUACGGCUGGCCGUGUCAGCGACCCACCUGCUCGGCCACGGCCAACAGGCAGCCGGCUCCGACGUCAAGUAGGCGCUACGGUUCCUGACGCCAGCAGGAGCACUUGACCAGCAGCUCACCGCCACCGCACAGGACCUGGCACAGCUCGGCACAGGCAUGCACAUUGACCCAGCAGUGGUGCAAGAAUGCGAAUGGCAAGCUCUGCACUGAUUCCUCCGUUUUUAGCAUUAGUGUUUCGCGUAACUUUCCGUUAAACGGACGGGGCCGCCGCCGGCCCCGGCCGCCGCCGUGCGAGUCGGCCGCCGCGCCGCUACGGACGACUGGCACACGCCACAAGUGUGAUGGAUUUUCGGCCAACGCGGCGACACCGGCGUAGCGUUCAAUUGGCCGCGCUGCCCUGACGCUCCGGUGACGGACAGGUGGACCGAGGGCGCCGCCCGCCCAUCCCUCCGGACCAGGCCAGGCCGGCCGAUCUGAGGGAGGUAGGGAGGAGCCGCGUGGCUGGCCGAAUGGACGGCCGCGCCGGGCCAUUGUCACUGAUUGUUGGCCAUUGUCACUGAUUGUUCAUUGCCGCACCGAGGUCCGGCGAUGUCACCGGAAUGCCGCCACUGGUUUGAGUUUCCGCGAAACCGGCUUGCCCAGAGAUGUUUGUCACUGGCAUUGCUAUGUGCUAUUUGUGAUGUUCAUAUAUACCAUUCCCGUUACGGAGUACAUAUCUUGUUUUGAACGUUAAGUUCCGAUAUACGAACUGGCCGUCUGAAAAAGAGCCGCACGUGCACGAUGCUUGUAGAUAUUCCUGACGACCACGAACCGACCACGAAUCAGAACUGCGCCUCUCGUAAUGGGAGUGCGAGUAGUUGUUGCGAGUUAGAGCUCCUUGGCGAGUGGCUGACUCUGAACUGACUGACUAAACACCGGUUAGCUGUUUCACCAGCAGUCCCAGUGGAGGGAAGUAGGCCCAGGCGAGCAGGGUGUCGCAGCGUAAGUCCGACGAUGGCGGCGCAGUAGUCGAAUGGCGUCCACAUUUAGCCGACGAAGGCUGCGCUGAGCGCCAUACCCGCCUCACCUUAUCUCCGAGUCACGUGUUCAUGACUGACACGGGCAACCAUACGGCCCGUCGUUGCCCACGCGCACCCCAGACGGGGCCGCCAGUCGCGGCCCCGGACACGUCAGUCCCCAGAUCUGCAGUGAUGUCGCCCGGCUCUGACGAUGGCGCACAGCCGCCGUGUCCGCGGUCUCCGUCGCCGCCGCGGUAUGCGGCGCUGGGCGGCGACUCGUACAUGUCGCGGUCUCGCCAUUGGGGGCCGAACGAUUCGCGGCUCCCGCCGACCCCGCCGGCGACGAGUUUCCUCCGGCGAGUCCUGCGCCGUCUGGCGUGGUCGACGCUGCCCGGGAGGUUCCUGGCUGGCAAGCUGCUGCUGUGUCUACCGACGCACAGAGUUUUGUCGUGGCUGUGCUGUCCGCGGCCGUGCUCCACGGUUGCGACGUCUGCGGCCAAGCUGCCCGCUGCUGAGCUCCGCGGCCGAGCUGCCAGCGGCCGUGCUCUGCGGCCGUGCUCUGCGGUCGUGCUCUGCGGCCGUGCUUCCCGUGGCUGGGCCCUCCGUGGUCCCGUGAUCGUGGCCGCGGCGAGGGUGCCGCGACCUGCGCGAUGCCGUGCGCUGCAGUGAUGGCGCCGCGCACUGUGCAGUGAUUUUGCCGAGCGCUGCGUACGCGGUGGGUGCCGCGCGCCGCGCUGUUGAGCGUGCCGUAUUCGGACGGUGGCUGCCGCGCGCAGCGUGGUGAUUGCUGCGCUCUGCCAUGAGUGCCGCUCACUGCCGUGGCCUGAGUGCCGCGCUCGGACGGAGUGCCACGCGCCGUUGUGUUGCGUCGCCUUCUGCCUUUUGAUAUGUGCUAUCUCCGAAUUUAAUGUUGCUUGUUGCCGAUGUUCGCUUCUUUUCGUUAAGAGGGUCGGGUAUAGUCGGUCGAUUUAUUCGCACCGUUUGAUUUCGUACCGGCUUCUCUUCUGUUUCUUAUUGUUUUCUGCGAUGUCACUUGUCCGAUUUUAUAUCUGAUUAAUUCACGUCACUUAAGUAUUUAUUUUAUAUUGUCAUAAUAACUUACGGCGCUGUUCCUUUAUUUUCUGUUUAGUUGCAGCCCUAGUACCUUAAUUUCCGAUGUCUCUUCGGUUUGUUGUCGCUCGCAUGUUCAGAGAGUCCUGGUUGGCCGGCGCGAGCGGCGGUUGUGGAAUACAAGCUCGUCUGUGAA
rnacentral:lncRNA from 1 species